rnacentral:rRNA from 1 species
UACGGGGGGAGCAAGCGUUGUUCGGAUUUACUGGGCGUAAAGGGCGCGUAGGCGGCCACCGCAAGUCGACUGUGAAAUCUCCGGGCUUAACCCGGAAAGGUCAGCCGAUACUGCGGGCUAGAGUGCAGAAGGGGCAACUGGAAUUCUCGGUGUAGCGGUGAAAUGCGCAGAUAUCAGGAGGAACACCGGUGGCGAAGGCGGGUCUCUGGGCCGUAACUGACGCUGAGGAGCGAAAGCAUGGGGAGCGAACAGG